rnacentral:rRNA from 1 species
GACGAACGCUGGCGGCGUGCUUAACACAUGCAAGUCGAACGCUGAAGCUCAGCUUUUGUUGGGUGGAUGAGUGGCGAACGGGUGAGUAACACGUGAGUAACCUGCCCCCUUCUUUGGGAUAACGCCCGGAAACGGGUGCUAAUACUGGAUAUUCACUGGUCUUCGCAUGGGGGUUGGUGGAAAGGGUUUUUCUGGUGGGGGAUGGGGUCGCGGCCUAUCAGCUUGUUGGUGGGGUGAUGGCCUACCAAGGCUUUGACGGGUAGCCGGCCUGGGAGGGUGACCGGGCACAUGGGGACUGAGAUACGGCCCAGACUCCGACGGGAGGCAGUAGGGGGGAAAAUUGCACAAUGGGUGCAAGACUGAUGCAGCGACGCCGCGUGAGGGAUGGAGGCCGUCGGGUUGUGAUCCUCUUUCGCUCAUGGUCAAGCCGCAACAAUGGUUGUGGUGAGGGUAGUGGGUAAAGAAGCGCCGGCUAACUACGUG